ensembl:lncRNA
CAUUGAAUGAUUUGCUUCACAGAGUCACUGAGUUGAAAAAAACUGAGAUUGAACUGAAGUUCUAUCACAACCUGCUCUGCAAUGUGCAUAAUGGUUGAGAGAAACGGCUGAAAGAUCUGACAUUCAAAUAGAUAUAUUUUUUUGUAAAGUAAUUUGCUGUGCAAUGUGCGUUGGCUGCGGGCCCCGGCAGAUAAGAUGUAUGCUGCUCCUGCUCUCAGCCUCGGUCGCGCCUGCGGGCGUUGAUGCCAGACAUGUGCUCCUCGCUGGGUCUGUGGCGACGCCACCUGGCCUUAAUGACCCGCCUCCUUAUCAGCCAGCAGGCCUCUGGCGUCUGCUGCACAGAGCAGAAGAAGGAGGAGGAGGAGGUGGAGGAGGAGAGGGAGGAGGAAGGUGAAGAAGAGGAGGAAGAGGGAGGUGAAGAAGAGGAGGAGGAGGAGAAAGGUGCAGAAGAGGAGGAGGAGGAGGAAGGUGAAGAAGAGGAGGAGGAGGAAGGUGAAGAAGAGGAGGAGGAAGGUGAAGAAGAGGAGGAGAAGCAUGUGAAGAGGAGGAGAAGGAAAGUGAAGAGGCAGAGGUAGAUGAGGAGAAUCAUGUGAAGAGGAGGAGGAGCAGGAGAAGGGGGGGAGAAGGAAGGUGAAGAAGAGGAGAAGGAGGUGGAGGAAGGUGGUGUGGAAGAGGAGGUGGAGGAGGAGGAGGAGGAGGAGGUGGCGCUGGGCAGCAUAUUGGAGGAGAAGUCGACUUGCAUUGGAGGAGUUCGGCU